CUGAGUUUUCGAACUCCCAAACCUUUGUGAACAUACCACUGUUGCUUCGGCGGUCCCGCCCCGGGCGCGACGUCUCGUACGCCGCGUCCCGGACCCAGGCGCCCGCCGAGGGUACCAAACUCUUGAUUUUAUAGCGGAAUUCUGAGUAUCAUUUUUAAAUAAAUUA
rnacentral:misc_RNA from 1 species